GUGAGAUCCACCCCUGCCCACCAGAGAACAACCCCCUUUGACUAAUUUUCCAUUACCUUCCCAAAUCCUAUAAAAUGGCCCCACCCCUAUCUCCCUUCACUGACUCUCUUUUCUUACUCAGCCCGCCUGCACCCAGGUGAAAUAAACAGCCAUGUUGCUCACACAAAGCCUGUUUGGUGGUCUCUUCACACGGAGGUGCAUGAAAGGGUGGACAUCCUAACUUUCUACUGAUUGCUCCAUCUCCAUUUCUCUUUCUAGAAAUGGAGGCUUCCCAGAAAGUGUUAAGCUCACCUUUGCUCUGGUCUUGGAAGCCCCUUUCACUCCCAAAUCACUGCACACAGCUCAAGUCCUAAACUUGCAACACUUUUCCUCUACUUCCCAAGUCAGUCCAGCCAGUGUCCUGGCCCAUCUCUUGAUAGACAUCCAAUUGCACCCCUGAUUUUCCUGUUCAGUGGCUGACUUAGACACCCCAGGGCUAAAUUCCCCCAGAAGCCAGAAGUUGUUUGUUCAUUUAACAGAGUUUUGCACCCACCUAAGUAUUAUUAAGUGGGAAAGAUCCAUAAAAGCAAUCAGUGAUCAAUGCUUCAUAUCAAGCACUGACCAUUCUAAAAACUCAUGGACUUCAAACUCUAUCUAGUUCCCAGAGACAUGUUCCUUUUGCUUGCUUUUCUCUCCUCUGAAAGGAAAGCCUGCGUUUUUGCUGAGACUGAACACUGCUCACGUGGUGAAAGCCUUCUUUUUGGUGAUGCAGGAUUCAACUCUGGUUCCUGGAAGACUCAAAACUCAGUGAGCCUGGAACUGACCCUAGGCUCUGCUUAUCUCUCCUGCUUUGAGCAAUUUAAUUAGUAAAUUAAGAUAAUACCAUUGUUUUUCUAACCACAAAUGGCUUUAAAAAGAUCCAUGUCGCUAAUGGGUAGCUGAAUCUCCCUCUAGCCACCUCCCCCACCCACGUCCUAAUCUUCCCACCUCCCCCCUCCAAGGAGAACCAUACUGUCUUGUCUUUGAGUGAAAGUGCCACAUUUCCAUGCAAAUUGAGUGUCCAGAGUGAAUGGGGUGGGGGCGGUGCCCGGACUUUCUCCAUGGCUGAGUUGCUGGAGUAUUUGCAUAAUAAAAUGCGUUAACAGCUUGGAAUUAAUCAUUGCUGUUACCCUGAAUGGCCUAGGAACUAUUUUCCAGGCCCUCUUCUGUGAAAACUAUGGAUGCCAUUUGUAGGUAAUGGAGCCUCUGCAUAUUUUUCUAAUUAUCACUACUACAUUUUUCUCUGUCUCCAAAAUAUGCCCCCAUCCUAGAAUAUCAUAAACUGUUGUAGAUAACUGGGAAUUUCACAUGAUAUGAAAAUUCUCAAAUGCUCAGUAAUUUACACUACACAUGCCUUUAUGCAUAAGGAUGAUGUUGGAAUAGGAUGAGCAAGGUUUGCACAAUAGAGUGGACAGAGUAAUGACUCUAGUUUGAGUCUUCUUCUAUGGUUGAUUUAGGGCUAAAACUUGGUUCCCUCUGCUGUAAAAAAGGGAUGUGGUAGGUGGCCUUCUAAAAUGGUCCCAUUCUCAGCCGGGAGCAUUGGUUUCACACCUCUAAUCACAGCAUUUUGGGAGGCAAAGGAGGUCAGGAGUUGGAGACCAGCCUGGCCAACAUGGUGAAAUCCCAUCUCUACUAAAAAUGCAAAAAUUAUCUGGGCAUGGCGAUGGGUGCCUAUAAUCCUAGCUAGUCGAGAGGCCAAGUCAGGAGAAUUGCUUGAACCUGGAAGGCGGAGAUUGCAGUGAGCCCAGAUCCCACCACUAUACUCUAGCCUGGGUGACAGAGCAAAACUGUGUCUCAAAAUAAAAUAAAAUAGCCCCAUUCUGGUAUCCACACCCUUGUGUAAUCCCCUCCCCUUGAAUGUAGGCUGGACCUAAUGGCUUGCUUUUAGCAAAAAGAAUAUGGCAAAAGUGAUAAGAUGUGAAUUCCAAGGUCAGGUUACGAAAGUCUGAUCAAUCUCUCUCUCUCCCUUUUCCUCUCUCUCCCUCUCUGUCAGCUUGUUUAAUGAAGCUAGCUUCAAUGCUGUGAGCUGCUCUAUAGACGCCCAUGUAGGAGGAAACUCAAGGGGCCCCCAGCCACUAGCCAUUGAGGAACUGAGGCCCUCAAUCCAACAACCCACAAGGAACUGAAUCCUGCCAACAACCACUGAGUGAGCCUGGAAGCGGAUCCUGCCCAGCUGAAACUCGAGAAGAUUGUAGCUCUGCUGCCCUGACCACUAUUCUAACUGCACCCUUGAGAGAGACCCUCAGCCAGCUAAUCUGUACCUGGAUUCCUAACCUGGAGAAACUGAAAUAGCAACGCAUGUUGAUGUAAGUGCUAAGUUUGGGAGUAAUUUGUUAUGUAACAAUAAAUAACUAAUAAUACUUAUUAUUUAGGCAAUAAAACCAUAGAAAAUACUUCUCAGGGAUGUUUUCUCCAUAAGAUAAUCAGAUUUUAAAUCAUCAAGUUCUAUACAGAUGUAUAUUAUCAUUUGUUUUCUACCCAGUAAAUAGGUUCCUCUCCUAAACACUCCACUUGCUCCCUUUGACCAGCCAGAGGAAGUUCUGCCUUCCUCCAAAUGACCCAUCAAUAUAUUUGUCUGGAGUUUUUAUUUCUGUCACAAUUCUGUUUCACCACUUGGGUUUGUUGUGCCUACGCUGUGGGCAGGACCACCUCACAGAAGACAAUGGGUGGGCGAUGGUGAGAAGUGAGUUGAGGGUGCAAAAGGAUACUAUAUCACGGGACUCCCAAAUCACUAAGCCAAAGAAAAAGGUCAAGCUGGGAACUGCUUAGGGCAAACCUGCCUCCCAUUCUAUUCCUCAAAAAGAUAGCUACUAACAUAAAAAAAGCUACAUACCUCCCUCACAAUUUGUCUACAAGGAAAUUCCUUGUGGACAAAUGACAGACAGAUGUCAAAGUCAUCCCUCUGCUCACUGAGAUAAAUGCAUAUCUGAUUGCUUCCCUGGGAAAGGCUAAUCAGACACUCAAAAGAAUGCAACCAUUUGUCUCUUCUGUACCUAUGACCUGGAAACCCCCUUCCUGCUGCGAGUUGUCCCACCUUUCCAAACCAAGCCAAUGUAAAUCUUGCGUAUAUUGAUUGAUGUCUAACGUCUCCCUAAAAUGUAUAAAACCGAGCUGCGCCCCGACCAUCUUGGGCACAUGUCACUAAGACCUCCUGAGGCUGUGUCAUGGGUGUGUUCUUAACCUUGGCAAAAUAAACUUUCUAAUGCAAGUCGAAACCACAGUGAGAUACCAUCUCACACCAGUUAGAAUGGCGAUCAUUAAAAAGUCAGGAAACAACAGGUGCUGGAGAGGAUGUGGAGAAAUAGGAACACUUUUACACGGUUGGUGGGACCGUAAGCUAGAUCAACCAUUGUGGAAGUCAGUGUGGUGAUUCCUCAGGGAU
rnacentral:lncRNA from 1 species